rnacentral:rRNA from 1 species
UUUUGGUCAUUUAGAGGAAGUAAAAGUCGUAACAAGGUUUCUGUAGGUGAACCUGCGGAAGGAUCAUUAUUGAAUGUAAACGGGAGUUGGUUGUAGCUGGCCUCUUACUGGGGCAUGUGCACGCCUUCUCUGUUCAUCCAUACACACCUGUGAACUUGUGAGACGGGGUAGCCCUCUCGGGGGCCGUCCGUCUGCUACACAUAAACUCUUAUAUAUAAAUUUGAAUGUAAUUGAUGUAACGCAUCUAUAAAUUAAGUUUCAACAACGGAUCUCUUGGCUCUCGCAUCGAUGAAGAACGCAGCGAAAUGCGAUAAGUAAUGUGAAUUGCAGAAUUCAGUGAAUCAUCGAAUCUUUGAACGCACCUUGCGCUCCUUGGUAUUCCUCGGAGCAUGCCUGUUUGAGUAUCAUGAAACCUUCAAAAUAAAUCUUUUGUUCAUUCAAUUGAUUUUAUUUUGGACUUGGAGGUCUGCAGAUUCACGUCUGCUCCUCUUAAAUUUAUUAGCUGGAUCUCAGUAAGCUCGGUUCCACUCGGCGUGAUAAGUAUCACUCGCUGAGGACACUGUAAAAGGUGGCCGGGGUUGCAGAUGAACUGCUUCUAAUAGUCCAUUCACUUGGACAAAUUUAUUUAUGAUCUGAUCUCAAAUCAGGUAGGACUACCCGCUGAAUUUAAGCAUAUCAAUAAGCGGAGGA